AUUGAACGCUGGCGGCAGGCCUAACACAUGCAAGUCGAACGGUAACAGGAAGAAGCUUGCUUCUUUGCUGACGAGUGGCGGACGGGUGAGUAAUGUCUGUGAAACUGCCUGAUGGAGGGGGAUAACUACUGGAAACGGUAGCUAAUACCGCAUAACGUCGCAAGACCAAAGAGGGUGACCUUCGGGCCUCUUGGCAUCGGAUGUGCCCAGAUGGGAUUAGCUAGUGGGUGGGGUAACGGCUCACCUAGGCGACGAUCCCUAGCUGGUCUGAGAGGAUGACCAGCCACACUGGAACUGAGACACGGUCCAGACUCCUACGGGAGGCAGCAGUGGGGAAUAUUGCACAAUGGGCGAAAGCCUGAUGCAGCCAUGCCGCGUGUAUGAAGAAGGCCUUCGGGUUGUAAAGUACUUUCAGCGGGGAGGAAGGGAGUAAAGUUAAUACCUUGGCUCAUUGACGUUACCCGCAGAAGAAGCACCGGCUAACUCCGUG
rnacentral:rRNA from 1 species